rnacentral:rRNA from 3 species
ACCUGACCCCAUGCCGAACUCAGAAGUGAAACGCCGUAGCGCCGAUGGUAGUGUGGGGUCUCCCCAUGCGAGAGUAGGACACUGCCAGGCA